GCAAAAUUCCAGGAAAAAUGCCAAGGCAGUGGAGGCAGUGGGACAACGAACAGGUAUCAUGUGGCAAUACCGAAUGGAGCAUCUCCAGAGAACAUUUCUCAAUAGCACCGUUGUUCUUGGCUGGUGUUUGACAUUUUGACUAAAGGACCUAGUUACAUUGUGAAAAGAGGAAGAUACCCUUUAGGUCCUGCAAGAUGAACAUCCUGGAC